ACAGAGGCCUCAAACGUUGUUCGGAAUUACUGGGCAUAAAGAGCACGUAGGUGGUGCGCUAAGUCACGUGUGAAAUCCCCCGGCUCAACCGGGGAAUGGCGCGUGAUACUGGCGGACUCGAGGCGGGUAGGGGUGAGCGGAACUCCAGGUGGAGCGGUGGAAUGCGUAGAGAUCCGGAGGAAGACCGGUGGCGAAGGCGGCCUGCUGGGCAGUUACUGACACUGAUGCGCGACAGCGUGGGGAGCAAACAGGA
rnacentral:rRNA from 1 species